rnacentral:rRNA from 1 species
GACGAACGCUGGCGGCGUGCUUAACACAUGCAAGUAGAGCGAGGAAAUUGCUUCGGUAAUUUCCUAGGGGCGGACGGGUGAGUAACACGUGGGCAACCUGCCUGAUAGAGGGGGAUAACCUCCCGAAAGGGAGAUUAAUACCGGAUGACGUCAAAUGAAGGCAUCUUCAAAUGACCAAAGGAGUAAUCCGCUAACAGAUGGGCCCGCGGCGCAUUAGCUAGUUGGUGAGGUAACGGCUCACCGAGGCGACGAGGCGUAGCCGACCUGAGAGGGUGAUCGGCCACAUUGGGACUGAGACACGGCCCAGACUCCUACGGGAGGCAGCAGUGGGGAAUAUUGCACAAUGGGGGAAACCCUGAUGCAGCAACGCCGCGUGAGUGAUGAAGGCCUUCGGGUUGUAAAGCUCUGUCUUCAGGGACGAUAAUGACGGUACCUGAGGAGGAAGCCACGGCUAACUACGCGCCAGCAGCCGCCGUAA